CUCGUAGGCGGUUCGUCGCGUCCGGUGUGAAAGUCCAUCGCUUAACGGUGGAUCCGCGCCGGGUACGGGCGGGCUUGAGUGCGGUAGGGGAGACUGGAAUUCCCGGUGUAACGGUGGAAUGUGUAGAUAUCGGGAGGAACACCAGUGGCGAAGGCGGUCUACUGGGCACCAACUGACGCUGAGGCUCGAAAGCAUGGGUAGCAAACA
rnacentral:rRNA from 1 species